rnacentral:rRNA from 1 species
AUGCGAGUCGAGCGAGCGGAACUAACAGAUUUACUUCGGUAAUGACGUUAGGAAAGCGAGCGGCGGAUGGGUGAGUAACACGUGGGGAACCUGCCCCAUAGUCUGGGAUACCACUUGGAAACAGGUGCUAAUACCGGAUAAGAAAGCAGAUCGCAUGAUCAGCUUUUAAAAGGCGGCGUAAGCUGUCGCUAUGGGAUGGCCCCGCGGUGCAUUAGCUAGUUGGUAAGGUAAAGGCUUACCAAGGCGAUGAUGCAUAGCCGAGUUGAGAGACUGAUCGGCCACAUUGGGACUGAGACACGGCCCAAACUCCUACGGGAGGCAGCAGUAGGGAAUCUUCCACAAUGGACGCAAGUCUGAUGGAGCAACGCCGCGUGAGUGAAGAAGGUUUUCGGAUCGUAAAGCUCUGUUGUUGGUGAAGAAGGAUAGAGGCAGUAACUGGCCUUUAUUUGACGGUAAUCAACCAGAAAGUCACGGCUAACUACGUGCCAGCAGCCGCGGUAAUACGUAGGUGGCAAGCGUUGUCCGGAUUUAUUGGGCGUAAAGCGAGCGCACGGCGGAAGAAUAAGUCUGAUGUGAAAGCCCUCGGCUUAACCGAGGAACUGCAUCGGGAACUGUUUUUCUUGAGUGCAGAAGAGGGAGAGUGGGAACUCCAUGGUGUAGCGGGUGGGAGUGCGUAAUGUAUGGGAAGAAC